UCUGGCUCUAUAUUGUUGUGUACUAAAUCUUUUUUGUAUUUUAUAUUAUUUUUGGGUUGAUAUUUUCUUUCAUGUUGAAUUUCUAUCACAUUUUCUUGUUGGUUUUCAACUUCGAAUCUGCUUUUUCCCCCGUUUAUCCGUGUGAUUGCCGGUUUGAAAUUUAAAUAAAAUAAAAACAUAGUUUUGAUCAUUAUAAAUUUAUAAUUGUACAUAUUUUCAAUUUAAUUUUCACAUGUAGCGUAAUGGGAAAGUCCAACCACGCAUGAGUAUUAUUAAAGUUUAUAAGGUGAAAUAUCUCCUUCUGACCUUGCACAGUUUUGACGUUGAUUACGGGAAUGUUGCUUAUCAAUGUGUUGAUAUAUUUUUGUGUCAAAAAAAAAAAGUGUUGAUAUAUUUAAUGCACAUGCAACAAAACUAUAUACGUAUUUAGGGGAACACUCGAAUUUUUUCAUCCAUGGAGUACAACAUGUAUUUGGGAUAAUUGAAAACAGUUUGAUCAAUGGAAGACUAUAACAAGUAAAACAAAACGAAUGGCUAUAAGAUGUGUCAGCAUUUUCCGUAACCUAUUGAUGCAACAUGUUCCCCAACUCAAACUACAUUUCUUUAUUUAUUUAUUUUUUUGGUCAAGACUCAAACUACAUUUCUAUACCUUCAUAAUCUUUUGCUACAUAAUCUUUAGAUAUAUAUCACGGUUCAUGACUAAUUAAACUUUAGGUUAAAUAUGUUUUUGGUCUCUAUAAAUAUGUCAAUUUUUCGUUUUAGUCCCUCUAAAAUUUUACUUCAACAUUUAGUCCCUAUAAAAUUUUCAAUCACUACUUUUG
rnacentral:lncRNA from 1 species